GCUCUCUUUUUCUCUCACAAGAAGAACUUGGACGGAGUUUGCUUUCUCUUUUGUAUUUUUAAAGUUUAUUUUGAUAUUAAUAUCAAAGUUCAACUUUUAAGUUGUGUCUUUUUCAUUUACUUUACUAACUUAUCUUUUUAGUGUUCUUUUUUGUCAUUUUAUAUAUUGUACAAUCAAUGUACAGACUUCAUUCGAUGCUGCAUCAUUUCACGAUUCAGAUUUAGGUACACAAAUUCAUAAUCAGGCACAUCGUUGAGUUCAUCACUUCCAGCUUCUGGUAGUUCGCUCGGAUUAGCAAUGACAUCGGGUGUCAGCUACAUCAAGGUUAGGCGUGGGGCAUGACAUGAGUACACGUAAAUUUGUACUAGAACUUGUAUAUUUCUGCAGCUUGUUGUGUAGGUUAUUAGAGUACUACCUCCGAUCGGUGAGAGAUAGAUGUAUUUGGAGUACUUCCUCUCGAGGUCUCAAGGUUGCUUCCUGGGUGAGUGAGGGUAAAACUAAUUUUGUUUUUUUAACUUGUCCAAAAAAGACACAUUACUUUUCUACCUGUAGCAUUUACUUUUAUACCUGUCGCAUGCCACUACGGCACCGCCUCCUCUAUCUAUGUAAUUUGGGAAAGAUGUUCAAUAGGAAAACAAAGGAGCACGUGGGAGAGAGGGAUCAUUUUAAUUUUA